ACUUAAGGAUUCCUAGUACGGCGAGUGAGCGGGAAGAGCUCAAAUUUGAAAUCUGGCAGUCUUCGAUUGUCCGAGUUGUAAUCUAUAGAGGCGUUUUCCGUGCCGGACCGUGUCCAAGUCUCCUGGAAAGGAGUAUCAAAGAGGGUGAUAAUCCCGUACUUAACACGACCACCGGUGCUCUGUGAUACGUCUUCUACGAGUCGAGUUGUUUGGGAAUGCAGCUCAAAAUGGGUGGUGAAUUCCAUCUAAAGCUAAAUAUUGGCGAGAGACCGAUAGCGAACAAGUACCGUGAGGGAAAGAUGAAAAGCACUUUGGAAAGAGAGUUAAACAGUACGUGAAAUUGUUGAAAGGGAAACGAUUGAAGUCAGUCGUGUUCUUUGGAUUCAGCCAGUUCUGCUGGUCUACUUCCUUGGAACGGGUCAACAUCAGUUUUGUCCGGUGGAUAAAGGUAGUAGGAAUGUGACUUCUCCGGAAGUGUUAUAGCCUAUUAUCACAUACACUGGGUGAGACUGAGGACUGCAGCUCGCCUUUAUGGCCGGUCUUCGGACACGUUCGAGCUUAGGAUGUUGACAUAAUGGCUUUAAACGACCCGUCUUGAAACCGGGCCACAAGU
rnacentral:rRNA from 1 species